CACGAAGCCCCGGCGGUCCCCGUUUCCCAAGGGCAGUCCCGCCGCCCCCGCCCGGGGCGCGCGCCCCCGCUCCGCGCCCGCCGCCGCCCCGCGGAGGUAAACAGGAAGCGGCGGCGGACAGCGCGGGCCCGCGGCGCGCGCGGCGGCGAACAUGCGGGGCGGCCUCCUGUCGGCGCUGCUCGUCGCCGCCCUGCCGCAGUUCUGCUGCAGGGCACAGGGCGCUGGGCCCUCGGGCACAACACCUGAAGGCAGGCCUGGGGAGGUAUCGCCGGUGCCCCCCCGCAAACAGUUCUGCCACUGGCCCUGUGAAUGCCCUCUGGAGAAGCCCCGUUGCCCCCCUGGUGUGAGCUCCGUGAGGGAUGGCUGUGGAUGCUGUAGAAUCUGUGCCAAGCAACCAGGGGACUUCUGCAAUGAAGCUGACCUCUGCGACCCCCACAAAGGGCUGUACUGUGACUACUCAGCAGACAGGCCUCGGUUCGAGACCGGAGUGUGUGCACACCUCGUAGCUGUGGGAUGUGAGUUCAACAGGGUGCAUUACCGGAACGGCCAAGAGUUUCAGCCCAGUCCCCUGUUUAGCUGCCUCUGCGUGAGUGGGGCCAUUGGAUGCACACCUCUGUUCAUACCGAAGCUGGCUGACAGUCCCUGCUCUGGGGCGAGAGGUGGGAAGAAGUCUGAUCGAUCGAACUGUGGCCUGAGACCGUUCCAACGGCAGCUUUCAACAAGCUACAAAACAAUGCCAGCUUAUAGGAAUCUCCCACUUAUUUGGAAAAGAGAAUGUCUUGUACAAGCAACAAAGUGGACACCUUGCUCCAGGACCUGUGGGAUGGGAAUAUCUAACAGGGUGACCAACGAGAACAGCAACUGUGAAAUGAGAAAUGAGAAAAGACUGUGUUAUAUUCAGCCUUGUGACAGUAAGAUAUCAAAAAUAGUAAAGAUCCCCAAAGGAAAAACGUGCCAACCCACUUUCCAGCUCUUGAAGGCUGAAAAAUUUGUCUUUUCAGGAUGCUCAAGCACUCAGAGUUACAAACCCACUUUCUGUGGGAUAUGCUUGGAUAAGAGAUGCUGUGUCCCUAAUAAGUCUAAAAUGGUAACUGUUCAAUUUGAAUGCCCAAAUGAAGGGUCAUUUAACUGGAACAUGCUGUGGAUUACAUCUUGUGUAUGUCAGAGAAACUGCAGAGAUCCAGGAGAUAUAUUUUCUGAGCUUAAAAUCCUAUGAAACUACGCAUAUGUGGGAAAAGUUGUUUUGCAACCAUGUCAUUAUAUAAAAAAAUUUAGAAUGGGUUUAAAAGGUGAUAAAUCUACUUUAUUGGUUUAAAACAGUAAGAAUGCCUACGUAUUUUCAGAUGACUGUAUUAAAGGCAUUAGAAGCUUUUAGAAAGUUCUAAAAAUGUAUGUAAAUUUGAAAACCUUAAAAUUGAAUGUUUAUUUUAAAAUGUAUCUUAUACCUGUAUAAUGCAGAUACUUGAUUCUAUGUAUUCCAUAUACAUAAUGGAAAAAUCAUACAAUUCACAAGGAAACAUUUUAUUCUGUAAAAUAAUCUGGAAUACUUUGUUGAAGAUAUGUGAAAAGCUUACAUUUUUAAAACUUUAUCUCUACUUUGAUAUAUAGCCUAGGCUCUUUUCAGAUAAUCAUUAUAGGGUGACCAAGAGUCUGUUUUAAACCUUAAGUAGUAAUAAGAUUAAACAAUAAAUAUAUUUAUAAUUUCCAUUUCCCUAUCCUAAAUAUUGAUUUAGAAGGUAUCUUUUGGAAGGAGAAAAGAUAACUCUUUGGGCCACUGUUGAUAACUGUAAUCUAAAAUUUUUGAUACCAGUACUGUAAAAAAUUAUCUUUCCAAGAUAAAGACCAAGAGCAGUAUACUUACUUUUAAAAGAAACCUAAAAAACAUAACAAUGAAGAAAGCAUACCACAGAUUGUUUUGGCUUGAAAAUAAACUGUUCCUAAAAAUUACUUCCUUAAAUGAUAAACCUACCUAUGGAUUUGAAAUACAAAUUGUGAUUAAGGAUAAAUUAAUCUUAAAGAAAUAAAAUGAAAUUAUAGUAAAUGAAACACUUUGACUAGAUUAUAGAUUUACUGCAAAGUUGAAAGAAAGUAUCAUGCUUACUAAUGUUGUUUGCUUGUGUAAAUGGUGACUAGCAAACAAUAAGUAGCAUUAAUUAAAAAUGUGGACAUUAUUAAAAAAUCAACUGGUUUGAUUUAAAAGAAAGCAUUAUAUUGGUAAAGUAAUUUAAUACAAAUACAUGUUAAAUGUAAAUUUUUUUUAUUCUUCUGGGUGCAAACAAGCUGUUAACCAAGAAGAAAGUCUCAAUAGUUGUCAUAAAACCUGUCCUGAACGUUCCUGGAUACACAGACAAGUAUUUAUAUUGUGUUCUACAACCUGUACAUACUUUUGAAGAAUCAGAAUUCUGGACUCAUACAUAGAGUAUGAAAACAUAAAUUAUCAAUAAACAUAAAUAUACAUCUGUAUAAGAUUUUUAUUGAAGAUACGAUUGUCACUAUAAAAUAUGCCUAAAUACAAGAUGAUAAAUAAAGCAAAAUGUUGAAGAACUCUAUUCUCUCAAUUUUAGAAAAGGGGAACUUCCUGAAGACAAAUGUCUGAAGAAGAUACUAGGACUUCACUCAUUUCACACACUGGCAACAUAAGAAAAUUAUGAUUACAUGGAAACCAUUCUUUUAGAAAAAAAUACUUCCUAAAACAAAAAACACAAACUGGGCUUUCUGAAUCACAAGAAAGAGCCUCAUGAAUCGCGCUCUCAGUUCUAUGAAGGCAGUCCUCACGCAAGUGUUAUUUGCUAAGGCUAACAGUGAGUGGGAGUGGCCCACGGGCGGCACUGGACACAGGCUGGUCUUCCAGCCGUCGGGGUUCCAGGAGACAAAUGGCAGAGAAGGUUUUAAUCUGAGAUAAAAAACUCAAAGGUAAGAAUUAAGGUACUAAAAACACUUGCCAUUUUGGGGCAGACCACAUUAGUGAAAGCAGGAUGUUACUGGCUGUACUAUUCCAAUUGCUUAGUCUAUGAUGUAAGCUAUUUUUAUUGUCGGCAGUAUCGUGGUACAGUCUGAACUCUGAGGAGGAGGACAGUACGUCGGCUGUGACUGGGGAUACAAAAAGCCAGGAACAGAUUCCGUAACAUUAGAAAUCGGGAUGAAAAAAA